AACGCAUCUUGCGCUCCUUGGUAUUCCGAGGAGCAUGCCUGUUUGAGUGUCGUGAACUCUCUCGACCUCCCACCUUUUCGGAGGUGAGGGGUUCGGAUUUGGAUGUUGUCGGCUCCCGAGUGGGGUCGACUCGUCUUGAAAUGCAUCAGCUGGUUCCGCCGCGCGAGCUCGAUUCGACAACGGUGUGAUAAGUAAACUCUUUGACGCCGCUUCGAGUCUGGUCUCGUGUCCGGACGGGUGACCGCUUCCAAUCGUCUUCGGACAAUCAUACUUCAUGUCAUCUGACCUCAAAUCAGGUAGGACUACCCGCUGAACUUAA
rnacentral:misc_RNA from 1 species